rnacentral:rRNA from 1 species
UACGUAGGGCGCAAGCGUUGUCCGGAAUUAUUGGGCGUAAAGAGCUCGUAGGCGGUUUGUCGCGUCUGCUGUGAAAUCCCGAGGCUCAACCUCGGGCUUGCAGUGGGUACGGGCAGACUAGAGUGCGGUAGGGGAGACUGGAAUUCCUGGUGUAGCGGUGGAAUGCGCAGAUAUCAGGAGGAACACCGAUGGCGAAGGCAGGUCUCUGGGCCAUCACUGACGCUGAGCUGCGAAAGCUAGGGGAGCAAACAGG